GGGGAGCAUUCAAAAGUCGGGGUGUUUCCUGAUACAAUCUUCCUAUAGAAAAGAACUGUCAUUUCCUGCUUGUAGUGCUUGAGAAUGUCCUACAAGUCUCCGUUAGACAGGGACAAAA